UACGGGGGGAGCAAGCGUUGUUCGGAUUUACUGGGCGUAAAGGGCGCGUAGGCGGUCAGCACAAGUCAGUUGUGAAAUCUCCGGGCUUAACUCGGAAAGGUCAACUGAUACUGUGCGACUAGAGUGCAGAAGGGGCAACUGGAAUUCUCGGUGUAGCGGUGAAAUGCGUAGAUAUCGAGAGGAACACCUGCGGCGAAGGCGGAUCUCUGGGCCUUACCUGACGCUGAGGCGCGAAAGCUAGGGGAGCGAACAGG
rnacentral:rRNA from 1 species